rnacentral:misc_RNA from 1 species
GCACCUGUGGAUUCUCUAGUGUAGCCCAACUGCCGAGAUGAUAAUGCACGCCUGUAACUUGAGACCACAUUGGGAUCCAUUUUUGAUAGAAAUGAUUCCUCUGACAAAUGCUUCCACAGUGGCUUUGACGGUGAAAAUGAGUUCUGAAGUGCAAUUUCUUCAGAUUUCAUAGAAUUAAAAGAAUCCUGCAGCUUUUUAACAGAAUCAUCAAAACCCAGAUGCUGAAACGAACUGGAUUUCGAGGAAAAC